rnacentral:rRNA from 1 species
GCGCGAAGGAUCAUUAACGAGUUAGGGUCUUUCAGGCCCGACCUCCCAACCCUAUGUUUAUUGAACCUCUGUUGCUUCGGCGGACCCGUCUCACGGCCGCCGGAGGACCGCUGCGAGGCGUCCUCUGGCCAGCGUCCGCCGAUGGCCAACCCACUAAACUCUGAAUGAAUCGUGUCAUAUGUCUAAGUCUAUGAUUAAAUUAAAGCAAAACUUUCAACAACGGAUCUCUUGGUUCUGGCAUCGAUGAAGAACGCAGCGAAAUGCGAUAAGUAAUGCGAAUUGCAGAAUUCCAGUGAGUCAUCGAAUCUUUGAACGCACAUUGCGCCCUUUGGUAUUCCGAAGGGCAUGCCUGUUCGAGCGUCAUUAUCACCCCUCAAGCCCCGCGCUUGGUGUUGGACGGCCGGUUGAGCGAUCGACCCCUCCUAAAGACAAUGACGGCGGCCUGUGGUUCCCCCGGUACACUGAGCUUUUCAUCGAGCACGUAUCGGACAAGGGCACCCGGGACCCGGUCCUCUCCUUUAACUAGGAAACUUCUAAGGUUGACCUCGGAUCAGGUAGGAAUACGCGCUGAACUUAAGCAUAUCAAUAAGCGCAGGAAAAGAAACCAACAGGGAUUACCUCAGUAACGGCGAGUGAAGCGGUAAUAGCUCAAAUUUGAAAUCUGGCCUCUCGGGGUCCGAGUUGUAAUUUGUAGAGGAUGUUUUGGGUACCGCCCCGGUCUAAAUUUCUUGGAACAGAAUGUCACAGAGGGUGAGAAUCUCGUCUUGGAUCGGCGGUAGGGCCUGUGUAAACUCCUUCGAUNAGUCGAGUGUUUGGGAAUGCAGCUCAAAUGGGUGGUAAAUUU